rnacentral:rRNA from 1 species
UACGAAGGGGGCUAGCGUUGUUCGGAUUUACUGGGCGUAAAGCGCACGUAGGCGGAUUGUUAAGUAAGAGGUGAAAUCCCGGAGCUCAACUCCGGAACUGCCUUUCAUACUGGCAAUCUAGAGUCCGGAAGAGGUGAGUGGAACUCCUAGUGUAGAGGUGGAAUUCGUAGAUAUUAGGAAGAACACCAGUGGCGAAGGCGGCUCACUGGUCCGGUACUGACGCUGAGGUGCGAAAGCGUGGGGAGCAAACAGG